ensembl:lncRNA
GCUCAGAUAUCCGAGUGUAAGUGAAUGCAGCAUCGGCUUCUGCGCUAUGUGCAUCAUGUUGGCAAAGGUAGUUAGCAAAGGUAGGAGAGCCAAGCACGAAAGACGGCACUACAGGAAACAAUUUUUCAGUGAAAGAAAAUGAGAACAGAAUAAAUGUCCAGAGGCCAGCAGGUGGAUGAGGGAAGGGGAGGCAGGAGGAGAGACCCGAGGCAGCCGCCGGUCCGAGUGUCAGGUGAACUGAACUUCAGGCUAUCCCACUGUGGACAUAGUUGAGUCACGAUUGGUACUGCAACAUAAGAGGCCGAUGACACCUUCCUCGUUAGUAUAGUGAUCCGCAGCCAUGCAGCCCGCCUCCUCUCCUUUCUCCUCCUCACUGUGGUCACUCAGAGCCCUGUCCCAGCCUCCAUCUUCAUCUUCAUUACUAUCAGCAUGUUGACUCUGGGGUGGUGGUUGUGCAACAUCCUGUCACUGCUGGGAUUCUUUCUGCUAUGAUGGGUCAUUGGAGUCUAACUGCCAAACAGUUACAUUUAUUUCUGUAUCUCAAUAAAUCAUGUUCGUUUUUUCCACAUGAUCUCUCCUUAUUGAACUGCUUUUGUAGAUAAGCUUCAAGCCAGAAAGCAACAAUACCUAAACCAAAAAUAUUAUCAUCAGAAGUGAGAAAGUGUCUGGACUAUCUCCAGCUGUGUUGCAU